rnacentral:lncRNA from 1 species
AGAUUAAAUAAUUAGUUCUUGGAAUUUAUUAUAAAAGUAAAUUGAGUAAUAUAAUUGAUAAGGAAAUAUUAUCUUCGUAGCAUUAAAUAUUUGGGGGAACAGGUUAAAAAUUGGGGGCAUUGUUAUGUAUCAAACUAGAUUUUAUUGCUAUCGAAAAAUGUAAGAAAGAACAUUUGCAAAAUCCUUGACAGUUCCCCUGAGAUGAAUGAAAGCCUAGGGCAUUUAUAUUGCCUAUCCUAUAAAGUUAUGUUCAGUCUAAAUAAGAUUACUUUAUUGAACAGAAGGCACACACAGCAUCAGAUGGAGGUGGUGUUCCCAAUAGUAUCUGAUUGUACAAUUAACUCAAUGGAUAGAAAAACACAAAACCCCAUCACAUCAUACACAGUAACAGAAAUGUAACAAUGAUGAAUCCCCAAGGACUCCACAGGGAUUAAAGUCAAGGUCAGCAAUGAGGCAUAUUGCUGGACAAUGUGGUGGAAGCUUGUAACACUGGAGACUUGUCUAUGCUGUGUCUGAUCAGUGGCUAAACAGAGAAAUUAAUUCUCCAAGGUGUCAAUCUGUCACCAGUGCUACAUUCACACACACACACAAAACCACUAACAGCAAAUAAAAUGGAAGUAGGUUGAACUAAUUGAAGUCAUUCCCUACAAAACAGCAAGGUCCAGAGUUUGCGGAGACACCUGCUUUUAAUUACACUUUUCCCUUUUAGGUUCUGGGGAAAACCCUCCACCGAUCUUGGUAACUGAAGGGGAACCCGUCUCCUUUGAGUGUUCCUUUGAUGGAUCCCCUGCUGUUGGCGAUCCAUUCUACGAGAUAAUCUGGAUGUAUAAUAUGACCCAUAAAAAUGUGUCCAAGAGGAUCCUUCCCUUUAGAAUGACUCGUCCCAAUUCCAGCGUCCCUGUCUCAGUCACUGAAGGCCAUUUUAGGGGUCAUUUAGACUUUGAAAAGAACACCAGCUCUCUCGUCAUCCCCGAGGUGCGGGUGAAUGACAGCGGCCUGUAUUACUGCGAAGUGAACACAGUGCCAGACCAUGUUAAAUCAAAAACAAACGGGACUUGUCUCAUUGUCACGGCCCCCCGAGGGAAUGUUCUGCUGAUCUCCAGUCUGACUGCUGGGCUACUUCUGUUCUUCCUUGCUUUGGGCUUGUAUUUUACAUUAAAGUGCCGAAUCCAGGCCAAGAAACCAGAAGUUUCUCUGGAAAUGUCCGAUCCCAUUUGCAGCACCUCUGCCCCUGCCCGGAGAGAGUUCUUUACACAGCCCGUCGGCAGUGAAAUGAUCUAUUCAAAACUGCAGUGGAGCAAGUCCAGCAUGGUGUCCUCUCCAGGGGGGAGCACUCACUCUGGCGAGCCAGUGACAGAGAAGGAGUCCAGAGCGGGGAGCAGUGACCCAGGAAUGGACACUGUGUAUGCCAUGCUUCAGGCACCGUGAAUGUAUUCCCCUCCGACGCGUGUAACACAAAUGUCUCCAGCAAACACCCCUUUUCUUCAGUGGUGUGACUCUGGCAUGUAAUAAAUGUACUGAUGAAAGUUGUGUGGUUGGGUGA